rnacentral:rRNA from 1 species
AGCGAACGCUGGCGGCGGGCCUAAUACAUGCAAGUCGAACGGUCUCUUCGGAGGCAGUGGCGGACGGGUGAGUAACGCGUGGGAAUAUGCCCUUUGGUACGGAACAACUGAGGGAAACUUCAGCUAAUACCGUAUGUGCCCUUCGGGGAAAGAUUUAUCGCCAUUGGAGUAGCCCGCGUUGGAUUAGGUAGUUGGUGGGGUAAAGGCCUACCAAGCCUACGAUCCAUAGCUGGUCUGAGAGGAUGAUCAGCCACACUGGGACUGAGACACGGCCCAGACUCCUACGGGAGGCAGCAGUAGGGAAUCUUGCGCAAUGGGCGAAAGCCUGACGCAGCCAUGCCGCGUGAAUGAUGAAGGUCUUAGGAUUGUAAAAUUCUUUCACCGGGGAAGAUAAUGACGGUACCCGGAGAAGAAGCCCCGGCUAACUUCGUG